rnacentral:rRNA from 1 species
UGAAUACGAGACGCUAAGGCGUCGAAGUAGUGUAUGUCAUACUUCCAAGAAAAGCUUGCACUGUCAUAGAUAAAAAACGCCUGUACCAUAACCGACACAGGUGGGUAGGUAGAGUAUACUAAGGGGCGCGAGAUAACUCUCUCUAAGGAACUCGGCAAAAUAACUCAGUAACUUCGGGAGAAGGAGUGCCUUAUUCUUAAGGUUGCAAUAACAAGAUCCAAGCAACUGUUUAUCGAAAACACAGGUCUCCGCUAAGUCGUAAGACGAUGUAUGGGGGCUGACGCCUGCCCAGUGCCAGAAGGUUAAAGAAGCUGGUUAGCAUUUGCGAAGCUAGUAACUGAAGCCCUGGUGAACGGCGGCCGUAACAAUAACGGUCCUAAGGUAGCGAAAUUCCUUGUCGGGUAAGUUCCGACCCGCACGAAAGGCGUCAUGAUUUGGAUACUGUCUCGGAGAGGGGCUCGGUGAAAUAGACUUGUCUGUGAAGAUGCGGACUACCUGCACCAGGACAGAAAGACCCUAUGAAGCUUUACUGUAACUUGAAAUUGAAAUUGGACUUUAUUCGCGCAGUAUAGGUGGGAGGCGUUGAUUAUAAUCUUGCGGGAUUAUUGGAGCCAUUAGUGAGAUACCACUCUUGUAAUGUUAGAUUUCUAACUUUGAAUCAUUAUCUGGUCAAAGAACAGUUUCAGGCGGGCAGUUUGACUGGGGCGGUCGCCUCCCAAACGGUAACGGAGGCGUACAAAGGUUUCCUCUGAACGGUUAGAAAUCGUAUCUAGAGUGUAAAGGCAUAAGGAAGCUUGACUGUGAGACCUACAAGUCGAGCAGGGACGAAAGUCGGUCUUAGUGAUCUGACGGUACUGAGUGGAAAGGCCGUCACUCAACGGAUAAAAGUUACUCUAGGAUAACAGGCUGAUCUCCCCCAAGAGUUCACAUCGACGGGGAGGUUUGGCACCUCGAUGUCGGCUCAUCGCAUCCUGGGGCGGUAGUACGUCCCAAGGGUUGGGCUGUUCGCCCAUGAAAGCGGUACGCGAGCUGGGUUCAGAACGUCGUGAGACAGUUCGGUCCAUAUCCGGUGUAGGCGUUAGAAUAUUGAGAGGAGCCUUCUUUAGUACGAGAGGACCGAGAAGGACAUACCUCUGGUGUACCAGUUAUCGUGCCAACGGUAGACGCUGGGUAGCUAUGUAUGGAGUGGAUAACCGCUGAAAGCAUCUAAGUGGGAAGCCCACCUCAAGAUAAG